GGGGAACCCUGAUACCAGCCAUGCCGCGUGUGUGAAGAAGGCCUUAUGGUUGUAAAGCACUUUAAGCGAGGAGGAGGAGCUCUUAAGUUAAUACCUUAAGAUGCAGUGGGACGUUACUCGCAGAAUAAGCACCGGCUAACUCUGUGCCAGCAGCCGCGGUAAUACAGAGGGUGCGAGCGUUAAUCGGAUAUUACUGGGCGUAAAGCGUACGUAGGCGGCUUUUUAAGUCGGAUGUGAAAUCCCUGAGCUUAACUUAGGAAUUGCAUUCGAUACUGGGAAGCUAGAGUAUGGGAGAGGAUGGUAGAAUUCCAGGUGUAGCGGUGAAAUGCGUAGAGAUCUGGAGGAAUACCGAUGGCGAAGGCAGCCAUCUGGCCUAAUACUGACGCUGAGGUACGAAAGCAUGGGGAGCAAACAGGAUUAGAUACCCUGGUAGUCCAUGCCGUAAACGAUGUCUACUAGCCGUUGGGGCCUUUGAGGCUUUAGUGGCGCAGCUAACGCGAUAAGUAGACCGCCUGGGGAGUACGGUCGCAAGACUANAACUCAAAUGAAUUGACGGGGGCNCGCACAAGCGGUGGAGCAUGUGGUNUAAUUCGAUGC
rnacentral:rRNA from 1 species